AGACUGUAUGGCAUAUAGCAGAUCCUAAGUAAAACAUUUGUUGAAUGAAUAAAUGAAAUAUGUUCAUUGUAAUAAAGGAAAUGGAGUAUCUUAUCUAGCUUUGGUUUAUUUACUUUUUAUUUUUGUUUAUCUUUGCAGUUUAGAGUGUUUAUAUCUUGGAGGAAACUUCAUCAAAGAAAUCCCGCCAGAAUUAGCAAAUCUGCCUUCUCUAAAUUACUUGGUAUUAUGUGACAACAGAAUUCAAAGUGUACCUCCUCAGCUUUCACAGAGUGUACUUUGACUGCUGUGUCAGACAAAUAAAAUUUGUGGACUUCUGUGGAAAGUACCGCCUCCCCCUGAUGCACUACUUGUGUUCACCAGAGUGCUCUUCGCCUUGCAGUUCCACAUCCCAGAGCGAAUCUGACUCGGAGGACGAAGCUAGUGUUGCCGCACACAGAAUGCAGAAAGUUCUUCUUGGUUGAAGAGUGCAGAGUGGAGUGACACACUAAAAGACUGAGAAAAGGUUGUUAGAAAAGAAAGUAGACUGUGAGGUUCACUAGAAACAUUAUCGUCAUCUUGAAUGUCCAUGAAAGAGUCAGAGGUGAUAUAAAUAAAAGAUUUUAUGUAUCAUCUACCCA